CAGUAGCCGCGGUAAUACGAAGGGUGCAAGCGUUAAUCGGAAUUACUGGCGUAAAGGGUGCGUAGGCGGUUGUUUAAGUCUGUUGUGAAAUCCCCGGGCUCAACCUGGGAAUGGCAAUGGAAACUGGACGGCUAGAGUGUGUCAGAGGAUGGUGGAAUUCCCGGUGUAGCGGCGAAAUGCGUAGAGAUCGGGAGGAACAUCAGUGGCGAAGGCGGCCAUCUGGGACAACACUGACGCUGAAGCACGAAAGCGUGGGAGCAAACAGGAUUAGAUACCCCGGUAGUCCCUGUCUCUUAUACAC
rnacentral:rRNA from 1 species